UCUAACUUGAGGUGGCCAAGAUGGUUCGUUUACAAUUGGAAAAGAGUACACUCUUAGAAAGAAACACGAAAAGGCCAUAAAAAGGUUCCAUUUCAUAUACGACAGAUAUGUUGUUUAACGUAGCGAGUGAGGUGCCUACUCACAUACAAUGGCACAUUUAAUAUCCGGCCCCUCCUGUUUGACAUCUGCACGCAAAAACACCUUUUUUUAAAGCCACUGUCAACGCAAUACGAAUAACAGGACACGUUGAAUAAUGGACUGAAGGAGUAAAUGUAGAGUCAAGUUACAGGAAACUCUACCUACAAGAGUUACCCUACUUACAAGAAAAGAUGUCAAUUACGAGGUGCAUUGAAUCGCAACAACAUCGCUCGACAACGUGGUCGUGGUCAUACGGUAUGCUGAUGGAGACAAUGGAAUCUUCCGGUCCUUCGGUGGGGUACUGUACACAAAUGCAGGAUU